GACGAACGCUGGCGGCGUGCUUAACACAUGCAAGUCGAACGGAAAGGCCCUGCUUGCAGGGUACUCGAGUGGCGAACGGGUGAGUAACACGUGGGUGAUCUGCCCUGCACUUCGGGAUAAGCCUGGGAAACUGGGUCUAAUACCGGAUAGGAGCCAUUUUUAGUGUGAUGGUUGGAAAGUUUUUUCGGUGUAGGAUGAGCUCGCGGCCUAUCAGCUUGUUGGUGGGGUAAUGGCCUACCAAGGCGGCGACGGGUAGCCGGCCUGAGAGGGUGGACGGCCACAUUGGGACUGAGAUACGGCACAGACUCCUACGGGAGGCAGCAGUGGGGAAUAUUGAACAAUGGGCGCAAGCCUGAUGCAGCGACGCCGCGUGGGGGAUGACGGCCUUCGGGUUGUAAACUCCUUUCGCUAGGGACGAAGCUUUUUGUGACGGUACCUAGAUAAGAAGCACCGGCUAACUACGUG
rnacentral:rRNA from 1 species